GAUGAACGCUGGCGGCGUGCCUAAUACAUGCAAGUCGAGCGAACAGACGAGGAGCUUGCUCCUCUGACGUUAGCGGCGGACGGGUGAGUAACACGUGGAUAACCUACCUAUAAGACUGGGAUAACUUCGGGAAACCGGAGCUAAUACCGGAUAAUAUAUUGAACCGCAUGGUUCAAUAGUGAAAGACGGUUUUGCUGUCACUUAUAGAUGGAUCCGCGCCGCAUUAGCUAGUUGGUAAGGUAACGGCUUACCAAGGCAACGAUGCGUAGCCGACCUGAGAGGGGGAUCGGCCACACUGGAACUGAGACACGGUCCAGACUCCUACGGGAGGCAGCAGUAGGGAAUCUUCCGCAAUGGGCGAAAGCUUGACGGAGCAACGCCGCGUGAGUGAUGAAGGUCUUCGGAUCGUAAAACUCUGUUAUUAGGGAAGAACAAAUGUGUAAGUAACUAUGCCCGUCUUGACGGUACCUAAUCAGAAAGCCACGGCUAACUACGUG
rnacentral:rRNA from 1 species